UAUUGAGUGUCAAUAGUUAGACAUGCUUUG
rnacentral:piRNA from 1 species